rnacentral:rRNA from 1 species
GACGAACGCUGGCGGCGUGCUUAACACAUGCAAGUCGAACGAAGGCGGUGGGAGCUUUCCUUCAUUCAACCUAGGUGGGGAGGGGGGGGUUAAGGGGUAUUCAACUUGCCCUUCGAGGGGGGCCAAAAGUGGGAACGAAUACCUCAUACGCCCUACGUCCUAAACUGGGCAUGCGGGUUAACUCAAGGUGGCCUCUGAAAGUAAGUCAUACAUGCAAGUGGGGGUUGUGUAUGGUUAGCCAGUGGGAGGGGUAACGGCCCACCAAGGCGAUGAUCAGUAGCCGAUCUGAGAGGAGGAAAGGCCACAUUGAGACUGAGACACGGCCCAGACGCCUACGGGAGGCAGCAGGGGGGAAUCUUCCGCAAGGGACGAAAGUCUGACGGAGCAACGCGGCGGGAGUGAUGACGGCCUUCGGGUGGUAAAGCGCUGUUAAUCGGGACGAAAGGCCUUCUUGCGAAUAGUGAGAAGGAUUGACGGUACCGGAAUAGAAAGCCACGGCUAACUACG